GGGUUGUCUCAUUAGCCUUAUAUCAGAGACAGCCAUCUAUGUUUCUCUUAUCGGGGACGUGUGUCAGUAUUUUUCUGCUCAUUGGGAACAGAGUCUCUAAGUAUCUCUUCUUACACACUAUAUUUAUUUCUUGUCAACACUAACACAUCUCUGUAUCUGUCUAGUCAUUGGAAAUGUGUUUACUUCUUUAGUUUCGAUGUAUCUCUCUGUUCAUGAUGAAUACAUUAU